rnacentral:rRNA from 1 species
UACGAAGGGUGCAAACGUUGCUCGGAAUUAUUGGGCGUAAAGCGCACGUAGGCGGCGCUGCAAGUCCCAUGUGAAAUCCCACGGCUCAACCGUGGAAGUGCAUGGGAAACUGCAGUGCUUGAGUACUUAAGAGGAUCGCGGAAUUCCCGGUGUAGAGGUGAAAUUCGUAGAUAUCGGGAGGAACACCAGUGGCGAAGGCGGCGAUCUGGGAAGAUACUGACGCUGAGGUGCGAAAGCGUGGGGAGCGAACAGG